AUGGAUAUGACAGUGAAGUACUUUGAGAGGAGGAAGGCCGAGAAUCCAGAGUUUUUCUUUGUGAAGCAAAAAGAUCCUGCAACGAACUCUGUCACUGCAUUGUUUUGGGUUGAUGGGAGGAUAAGGGCGCUGUACCCGAAAUAUAAAGAUUGCGUGUUCUUUGACACAACUUUCUGCACUAACAGAUACAACAUGCCCUUUGGUCCUAUAGUUGGUAUCAACAACCACCUCCAAACCAUUUCACUCGGGUGUGCUUUGUUGCCGGAUGAGACUAUUGAAACGUUCAAGUGGGUCUUUGAGCAAUGGAUGGUUGCAAUGGACAAUGAGCAUCCAAAGAACAUAAUGACUGACCAGGACCAAGCAAUGGCAACAGCUAUAGAGCAGGUGCUCCCAAAUACUUGACAUAGGUGUUGCAAGUUUCAUGUGUUUGGCAACACGCGUUCUAAGUUGGGGAGGCUGCUUAGAGAUGAGGCGUUUGCAGAUGUGUUUUACACUUGUAUCAACAACUCUGAAAUGGUUGAAGAAUUUGAGGAAACAUGGCAGCACAUGUUGGAGUGUUUCGAAGUUGCUGAAAACAAACACUUGAAGAACAUGUGGCAAACAAGACAUAUGUGGGAUCCAACGUACUUCAAGAACAAUUUCUUCCCGUUCACAAGCACGACAUGCAGGUCCGAGGGGCUGAACUCAUAUUUCAAGACAAUGAUUCGUCCAGCUGAUUUUGUAUGGAGGUUUGUGCAACAGUAUGAAUUGUGCCAGGAAACUGUACUUGAUCGCGAGGACAAUGCUGGGUUCACUGGUGAAACGACGGCUCCUCCACUAUACUCUCGGUAG
rnacentral:rRNA from 1 species